rnacentral:misc_RNA from 1 species
ACCAGCCACCAAAGAAAGAGAAGAGGAGGAAGAAGAAGAAGACGAUGAUAACAAUAAGAACGAUGACAUACUUAACGUUGAAGGUGGUAAAACUAAGGGACCAACUACUUUAUUCAAGUUGACAGCAGAAGAAGCCGAGCAUCGAGCACUUCAAGCAGCUAUUAUUCAAGAAUGGCAUAUGCUCUGUAAAGAUAGAAACACCAAAGUAAACUAAUUUUUUUUGCUUAUUUUCUUUUGAUAUAUUUUGGUUUGAUAAUUGAUUUAGAAGUUAGUUGAUUGAAAUGAGUUUCAAGUUUGUUUUUAUGUAAUUCUAGUUUAUUUCUUUUCUCCCAGUUUUGUAAUUUCUAUGUACCUUUUUG